GUGUCAGCAGCCGCGGUAAUACGUAGGGUGCAAGCGUUAAUCGGAAUUACUGGGCGUAAAGGGUGCGUAGGCGGCUUCUUAAGUCUGGUGUGAAAUCCCACAGCUUAACUGUGGGCGGUCAUUGGAAACUGGGGAGCUUGAGUACAGCAGAGGUAAGUGGAAUUUCAAGUGGAGCGGUGGAAUGCGUAGAUAUUUGAAGGAACACCAGUGGCGAAGGCGGCUUACUGGGCUGGAACUGACGCUAAGGCACGAAAGCGUGGGGAGCAAACAGGAUUAGAUACCCUGGUAGUCCACGCCGUAAACGUUGAGCACUAAGUAUCGGAUGAGAAUUCGGUGCUGCAGCUAACGCAUUAAGUGCUCCGCCUGGGGAGUACGGUCGCAAGACUGAA
rnacentral:rRNA from 1 species